rnacentral:rRNA from 1 species
UACGUAGGGUGCAAGCGUUGUCCGGAAUUAUUGGGCGUAAAGAGCUCGUAGGCGGUCAGUCGCGUCUGCUGUGAAAACUCGGGGCUUAACUCCGGGCCUGCAGUGGGUACGGGCUGACUAGAGUGCGGUAGGGGAGACUGGAAUUCCUGGUGUAGCGGUGAAAUGCGCAGAUAUCAGGAGGAACACCGGUGGCGAAGGCGGGUCUCUGGGCAAUAACUGACGCUGAGGAGCGAAAGCGUGGGGAGCGAACAGG